GACGAACGCUGGCGGCGUGCUUAACACAUGCAAGUCGAACGGAAAGGCCCUGCUUUUGUGGGGUGCUCGAGUGGCGAACGGGUGAGUAACACGUGAGUAACCUGCCCUUGACUUUGGGAUAACUUCAGGAAACUGGGGCUAAUACCGGAUAGGAGCUCCUGCUGCAUGGUGGGGGUUGGAAAGUUUCGGCGGUUGGGGAUGGACUCGCGGCUUAUCAGCUUGUUGGUGGGGUAGUGGCUUACCAAGGCUUUGACGGGUAGCCGGCCUGAGAGGGUGACCGGCCAAAUUGGGACUGAGAUACGGCACAGACUCCUACGGGAGGCAGCAGUGGGGAAUAUUGCACAAUGGGCGGAAGCAUGAUGCAGCAACGCCGCGUGCGGGAUGACGGCCUUCGGGUUGUAAACCGCUUUCGCCUGUGACGAAGCGUGAGUGACGGUAAUGGGUAAAGAAGCACCGGCUAACUACGUG
rnacentral:rRNA from 1 species